rnacentral:ncRNA from 21 species
GCCCGUUCCGAGGGGGGCUCCGACGAGGAGCUGAGAUACCGCACGCUCGCCGCUUCGCUCCGCGAGGCACAGAGACCGCGGUGACCCUUUGAACCUGAUCCGGGUCAUGCCGGCGAAGGGACAGGGAUGCAUCAGACAG